AAAUCUUUCAACUGGAAAAAGAAUUCCAUUGAAUUGGUGUGGCAGAGCUUGACUGGCUGCUACGCAAAGCUGUUUCUCCUUCUCUCUGGGUGCACUCAGCAAGACUACACUUCCCAGCUUCCCUUACACUGAAGGUGACCAGCCAGUGCUAUCUCAGCAAAAGUGACUGACUCAGCUCCAGACCUGGCCUGAGAAAACCUCCAUUUGUUCUUCCAAUUUACACGCUGAAUGCAGAGCACUGUAAGGUUGUAAGGUGGGCUGAGGGAAAGGAAGAGAGAGAAGAGAGAAAGGGGGAAACAUAUGCCAGUUUUUUUGUCUUUUUAAAAAAAUUUUAUUUAAGGAGAAAAAGAAAAAAGCAGAGAAAGGGUAUAAGUUACACAGAUUUACAGAAAAAAAUAAACAGUAAGAAAUCACUAGUUAAUGGAUUACAUAUUGUAUUCUUAGAAAUAAUUGUUCAAGUUACAAAAUUAAAGCUUAUAAAGUGGACAUUCCAACAGUGAGACUGCAAACAGUUCUGUUCAAUGAUCCAACAAAACUCAGUAAUAUCAUUAUCAAUCUUAUACACUUAAAUAUACAUGCAGUUAUAUCUUUUAGAGCACUUUCUUUUCCUCUCUUUUGUACAAUGACAAUUGCACAUUUUGGGUUUUGUUGCUCCCACAGUUCUUAUUACUUUUUUGGAAGAGAGUAGAACCAAAUGUGACAUAACAGAACAGUCAGGCAAAUCAAAAGGGUGGACAUAAUAGAUAAUAUAAAAGCAUAAUACAAGGUGAUCAACAAUGGUUACUGAAAGAGUUGCUGGCCCAGACCGGACACUUUAACCAGGAAAAGCUGCAGCCGCUGCCUCCCCCGCCCCUAUAGAUUUGCCUGUAACCCUAUACCCCCAUCCCUGUAACCCUGGCGCCAAAACGUGUGCCAAUGAAAUACCUGUACAUCCCUAAUGCCCCUUGGGGUCCACCCCAGACAGAGGUUACUUAUGGGCCUGACUCCAUGUGUUAGAGAAAACAAGAGAAGAAGAAGAAGGAGAAAGGGAGAGUGUGUUCCAGAGAGAGACCACCGGCCCUGGGUGCAGUGGAGAUGCUGUGUCCCGGGGCCGGGGGGGUAUCUCCCCGCAUUCCCGAAAUAAAGCCACCACCGCCCACUACUUUCACGGCCGUCCACUCCACUCCUUCCACGGACCUCUUUCCCUUCCCUUCCCCUCUUCUUCCCCUUCUUCUCAGACCUAACAGAUGGUGCGUGUGACUCAACGGCAGGUGAGAGACUAUAAUUUUCCCAGUUUUGUUUUAUGGUCCCCUGCUGGUCAAGAUUCUUCACUUCUACACUCACAAAUCGACUCACAAACUCAACUGCUGUUUCUCAACCAACAGCCAUCUGCCCAGUCUUCAGGCCUGCAUCUCCCCGUCUGCAUUCGGGCCUCUCCUACCAUCAGAAAGUGAGUUGGCCGCAGAUUCCUGCACUCCCAUGGGAAGCCGGGAGCCUGGGUGACCCUUCACAUUCUGAGAAGUCAGAAUUCCAAAUUUUCAAGGAAACUCUAUUUAUACCAUUCAAGAAAGGGCGUGGGCAACAUACCGUUGGGUUGAGAAACUAAAUCUCAGUGAAAAUUACAUCACCGAACUACGUAAGGAUUCCUUUGAAGGCCUGCUAAACCUCCAGUAUUUAGAUUUAUCGUGCAAUAAAAUACAGUUUAUUGAAAGAAAUACAUUUGAAGCACUACUUUUUUUACAGUUCUUGUAAGUUGAAAAUAUAACUUCAUUAUAUUUACAGUCUUGUAAGUCUCUUUGCUACUCAUUUGGAAAUCCUUUAAACCUCUACCAAAGUAUAUUAUAAAGAUUAUUGCACAGGUCAGAGAGAGUCACUACAGAGCAAUGAUUCUCAGUUGGUUUGAUUUUGCAUGGAGGCGACAAUUGCUAUUGGAAUCAAGGGGGCAGAGAUCAGGGAUGCUGUUAACCAUGCUACUGUGUUCAGUCAGACAUUCAAAGAAUCAGCCAGCUCCAAAUGUCUCUAGUGCGGAACCUGCGAAGUGUUGUUCAAGAGCAAUAAAGAUUGCUCAGCACAGGAAUUUAUUAAGCUUUCACUCUUUUAUAUCUAGUGCAUUUCACAUGUAAAUAGGAAAGUGUAAGUUAUAAGCCAGCAUCUUCCAGUGAGAUUUCUUAAGUGUAUGGAAACAGUACUGCAAGUGAUGUUUCAUCAUAUAUAAAUUGGAAUA